UUCCGAUUUCGAACCGAUGACCUCGACCUCGAUUGACCGUUCAGCGGGCGCCACAUGGCAAUACCUCAACGCGCGUCUUCCCUCCCUCAUGCGCGUUUGUACGCGCGCGUGGCCGUGCGCGUGUAACACCUUCCCAGGCACGUGAAUGCGCGUGAGGACUUCAAUGAGAAAAAUCAGUAUUUGUGGACACGCUAUUGGUAUAGAAAUGCUCAACGAAAAACACGCAUCAAUCAGGUAAGUCACCACAUGGAACUUAAGGAAGAAAUACUUGUAGGAGUCGCUUGGUUAUGCAUGCAUGCUAGUUUAAUUACCUUAGGUGGUAGCUUUCCAUGAUUGAAUGUAUGUAAUUUGGUUGUUAAGAGUAUGGAUGUAUUAUAUGAAGUAUUUUGAGAAUUAUCUGAGUGUUGCAAU